rnacentral:misc_RNA from 1 species
GAUGAAGAACGCAGCGAAAUGCGAUACUUGGUGUGAAUUGCAGAAUCCCGUGAACCAUCGAGUCUUUGAACGCAAGUUGCGCCCGAAGCCAUUAGGCCGAGGGCACGCCUGCCUGGGCGUCACACGUCGUUGCCCCCCCAUCUACUCCUUCGGGAUUGCGGGGGGCGGAUGAUGGCCUCCCGUGCGCCUCGUCGCGCGGUUGGCAUAAAUGCCAAGUCCUCGGCGACGCACGCCACGACAAUCGGUGGUUGCGAAACCUCGGUUGCCCGUCGUGUGCGGUCGUCGCGCAUCGAGGGCUCGAAAAAAUUGCCGGGCUCCGGCUCGGCUUUCAACGCGACCCCAGGUCAGGCGGGGUUACCCGCUGAAUUUAAGCAUAUCAUAAGCGGAGGA